rnacentral:sRNA from 1 species
CUGAUUAUUAGCAUCAUUCAUCGAAUGGUGGGUUAGCGCACGUCGGAUCGCAGAGACAAACGCAGUAUCAAACUAACCCGCCACACGAGGCGGGUUUU